rnacentral:ncRNA from 1 species
GGUCAUGAGUUCCAGCAACAAGCCCCGGCUAGCUGGACGGCAACCCUCCACCGCGGUGGGGUGCCCCGGGAGACGACCUGGCCCUCACCGCAUCCGGUGGCAGGCAAGCGCGGGU